CUACGUGUGGCAGCAGUGGGGAAUAUUGGACAAUGGGCGAAAGCCUGAUCCAGCCAUGCCGCGUGUGUGAAGAAGGCCUUCGGGUUGUAAAGCACUUUCAGUGGGGAAGAAAGCCUUGGGGCUAAUACCCUCGAGGAAGGACAUCACCCACAGAAGAAGCACCGGCUAACUCCGUGCCAGCAGCCGCGGUAAUACGGAGGGUGCGAGCGUUAAUCGGAAUUACUGGGCGUAAAGCGCGCGUAGGCGGUCUGAUAAGCCGGUUGUGAAAGCCCCGGGCUCAACCUGGGAACGGCAUCCGGAACUGUCAGGCUAGAGUGCAGGAGAGGAAGGUAGAAUUCCCGGUGUAGCGGUGAAAUGCGUAGAGAUCGGGAGGAAUACCAGUGGCGAAGGCGGCCUUCUGGACUGACACUGACGCUGAGGUGCGAAAGCGUGGGUAGCAAACAGGAUUAGAUACCCCAGUAGUC
rnacentral:rRNA from 1 species